CUCCCUGGCGGCGCCGCGGAGCUUGGCGCGGCAGCUGGAGGCGGCCUGGCGCGUGGUGACGGCGCCCGCGGGCGGACGCAGGAUGGCGGCGCUGCGGGGCGACGGCUUCGCCAGGCUUCGGCCCCCACGGGCGCAGCGGACCCCAGGGAGGAAAGACAAAGACACGCCGGUUAGCAACGAGCGGGAACCGCGCAGCCCGGGGCUGAGGCGCCGCGUCCCCCGCACCCACCAGCAAAUAUCCUUCAUCUUCACCGUCAAUUGGGCCAUUCCUCCUGAGGCAAUACCAGAAACUUUGGCUCACCAAGGGGGUUCUUCUGGAUGAACAACAAAUCCACCUGUGUAUUCACCGUCAGUCUAUCCGUCUGAUGAACACCUGCUUACUGUCACCCAGACCUCAUCCAGUUCUCACCUGCACUAUCCAAUCCAACCAAGAACCUACUGUGGUAAAUGCACCAGCAGCAUGAUAUACUGAAGAGGCAGAGGCAAGAGGAUCAUGAGCAAGGCAAUCUGGACUAUACCUUUGGGGCUCGAGAGAUGGCUCUGCAGUAAAAAGUACCUACUGCCCUUGCAGAAGACCUGGGUUUGGUUCCCACCUCCCAUGUGGAGGCUCACAAGCAUCCAUAAAUCCAGUUCCAGGGGAUCCAACAACCUCUUUGGCUUCUGUAGGUACCAGGCAUGCACAUGGUACCAAACAUGCAUGCAAACAAAACACUUGCACACAUAAAAUAAAAAUAAAUAAAUCUUUUUUUAAAAUAGUCAAAACAUUGAAGGAAAAAAGGUUGAAGAAAAACAAAGAAAUCUAUUUAACUAAAAAAAUGCAACUAAAGGGGUUAGAAAGACAGCUCAGUGACUAAGAGCAUCUGCUCUUGCAGAGGACCCAAGUUUGGUUCUCACAACUGCCUACAACUCCAGUUCCCCAAGGGUUCUAACACCUCUGGCCCAUGCAAGUACCUACACUCAUAUGUAAACCCACACACACAUAUACACACACAUAGACAUAACAAUUAAAAAAACUAAGAUUUAAUUCAACUUUAAAUUUAAAUAAGUGAAUAGCAGCAUAUUGAAAACAUUACCCAUCUUAUAUAAACAUGGUUAUAAUUAAUUUAAAAAUAGUGAAGUGCAAAAGAUUAUAUCCUUGAAUUAAGUAACCACUUCGUUCACUAGGAUCUCUCAAUCAUAGAAAAAGAAAGACAUCAAUUUCUUAAUUAAUCCUAGUUAGAUAGUUAUAUUCAGUACCGAGCAUAUUACUUACUCCCAAUAGGCAUUUAAAAAAUUAUCUCCUCUAACCUAUCAGUUAUAAACACUUUCCUCAAAAUGCAAACACACACACACACCAGUUACUGUUGACUCAGGCACACCAAUUUCUUUUGGGUCAAAAAUACAAUAAACCCUUUCUGAAUGGAGAUGGAGGAGGAGUGGAUGGGGCGGGGGAUAGAAGGGAGGUGAAUGGGAGGAGAGGAAGGAGGGGAAACUGUGGUUGGUAUAUAAAAUAAAUUUUAAAAAAUUAACAAGAAAUACAACAAAUGUUCUCUUGCUCCUCUGUCCUUUGUAUGCCAUCACCCAUGUUAUUCUUACUAUAACGUCUCCUUCCCUAGUCUGAUUCACUUAUGACACUUCAGAUCCAGGUAAGCAGUCACUUCUGCCAGUAUGCCUUCUCUGACCUUCCUAUAAGACGCUCUCACCUGCACUCUCAGUGCCCCUUACAUCUACCCAACUUUCCCCACUAUCCUGUACGUAGUUACUGUUCUAUGUACCUACUAUGCCAAGAUACCUAAAGGAAAAGUUCUCUUUGACACUCACUUGUACUACUAUCCUCAGGACAAUGCCUGAAUGACUUUCAGUAUAACUUUCUAUAUAUUUAUGAGUAUCACUGUUUUCAAUCUAUGUGUAGUUGACUUGAUAAUCAAAAAGGUUUUCUAAUUCCACAUACAAACAUUUUACAAAGGAAAAGGUAAGAUGUGUCUUGUUGCAUAAACAGAUAUUAAAAGAUUUCCUCUAGUUUCAGCCACCAUUUAAGAUGUUAUAUUUUUCACAUCAGAACACAAUGGAUUUCUUCAAAAUCAGCUACCAUUUUUCUGAUUGCUUUGUCACAGCAGACACAGGCUCUGUCAUACUAAAAUUCCUCCUCACCCAAGAAACAGGCAGGGUCAUCUAGACAGCAACAUAAAGUUCGUCUACACUCUGAAUCCUGAGAAACAGAGCCAUGCUGAUUUUCUCUAAACAAUUCCUUUUUGAAAAAAAUUGCUCUCUUUCUUGCUUAGGUUCUUAAAUUAAAUUAGAAGUCACUGCUAACUGCUUAAUAGAUCAUCAACCAGAAUCUUAAAAAAAAAAUGCCAAAGGGUAAGAGUUUCGAAAUGGAAUACUGGCACAUAAAUUUAUAAGUAGGAUAAAAUUACUUUAAAACUAUACCUACUUGCCGGGCAGUGGUUUGUUUGUUUGUUUGUUUGUUUGUUUAAAGAUAAUAUAACUUUAGAUAUAAAAUAUAUAUCAGAGACUGAAGAGAGUUUCAGGGUUGAGAGUACUUGCUGCUCUUCCAAAUGACUACUUUCAGUUCCCAGAAUCCAUGUCAGGUGGCUCACAACCGCCUAUAACUCCAGUUCCAGGGGAUUGGAUGUCCUCUUCUGGACUCCUCAGACACUGCAUUCAUGCACACAGGUAUACACACACACACACACACACACACACACACACACACACACACACACACAAAGAAAGAAAGAUCCCAUCAAAGAAUAGAGCACUCUCUGUUAUAUACCUUUCACAGACCUUACUUCCAUGCUAAGCUUAUCUAGAAUUAAAAAUACAGCAACAUAAAUUCAGUCAUGGCUUACACUAACUUCAACUAAAGUUACUUCAAUCAGAAAAAAAGUACUUUGAGAUGAUAAAAUCUAGGAAGGCAACAGCAAGAACUAUUACACAAAAUACUUAUUUUUCACCAGCAUACCACAAAUUAACAAUUUAUUCUUUCCUGGGGAGGGGACGAUGAAGUUCCUUACAUAUAGUAGUAUAGUAUAUUCUAUAUGUACAGAACCUUUUCUCUAUAAUUUGAUAUAAUAUUUUUAUAAUACAUUUAAAUUUUAACAUGUCACUUUCAUAUUAAAGACUAGUUUUGUUUGAAUGCUGGACACCUUCCCUCAUUUUCCUGUUUCUAACUUUGGGGCAUUCUACAGCUUCUUUGCCUCUGUAAGAUGACUAAGAGACUAAAAGAAUAUAAUCUCAACUAAAUCAGUGUAAAUAAAUAUCUAAAAGAUGUUCAGUAAAUAUCUAAAGGUGUUGUGUGUUUUUUCUUCAAAACUGUGUUUUGAAGGGAGUGAGAGAAGAAGAUCAGCCAAACAUGUUAAGAAAAAGGAGGGAAGCCUGAGGACAUCACAUCUCAGGUGUGAUCCUACAAGUAUUUAUUCAGGCAUGAUAAGACUCCUGGAAGGCAUAGGGCAUGGAAUAGGUAGUACCAGAGGCUAGUAUUUGGAGCAAACAGCAGCUUUCAAGUCAUCCAUCAGGGUUCAGAGUAGAAAAUGUAGAGCCACAUUUAACUCUACAGUAAUUUCAACAACCAAAUCUACCCACGAAGCAAAGCUAGACAAGAAUGUACAUCUGCUACCAUUUCUACUGGGAGGAAACAAGAAUAUGCUUAUGCAUGGAUAAAAGGAAGAGGACACAACUAGGCACCAGUAGUCACUUGUGCAAAGGGGUAGGGGAAGCUUUCUUUUUGCCCUAUAAACUGUUAUAUCCACAUUAUCAUUUCUUCCCCCCCCCAAAAAAAAAACUACUUAAAUUUUACAAAUCAAGCAGUUAGAAAUAAUAGAUAGCAGAGGUCAGAAAGAAUUUUUUAUUUAAAGCCAAGAAACUAGUACAAAGCAAACACAAACACUGAAAUCUAAAGCAGUAAGAAUGGGUUAAAACUGCCCAGGAGUCAAUGCAGCACACAUGAGCUGGUGAAGAUGAGUCAACUUCUUCUCCAGACAGGCCUUUAGGGGUUUCCAGCUUGGGUAGGAAUUAGUAUCAGCUCAGGGACAGCCCAGUGUGGAAGGAAGGAAGUAAGAAACUCAAAGAUGGCACAGGAGUUGAAGACCAACAUCUGAGCUUGAAGAUGCAGGCAGAUCCUACAGCACUCCUAUCCAACCUGAGUUAGCCUGUCACUUACUAAGCAGACUCAUGGACUUCACAGUUGUACUGUCAAGUACCUAUCGGAUACACAGCACUACCAGGAUAGUUUUUUCAACACAAAGUGUGUGACCUAGAUACAGUGGAAAGAGGCUGGAAAGAGAUGAGUCACUGAGGGUGUGCUUAUAGAAGACUGGGUCAGGGAGGAACUGAAUCUCAAGUCAGAAUGGACAUUAAACCCGUAAGUCAUUCUCCUAAGGUUUACCUUAGCCUGAAACACCUUUGUCCUACAAAGAGCUGCUUCAGUAGACUUUAGAUUGACUAGAUAUGUGAGAGAUUAUUGUCCUGGGGAAAUUAAAAUUUCUGACUUAUGGGACACAAUAAUGAAUUAAUUCUCCCUUAAUCCAAAAUUAAUUUCUCUGCACAACUCUGCACAUUUCUAAAUCACCUCUAAUUUAAAUUAUAGUUAUUUUCAGAAUUUUUCUAUAUUAAAAAAUAACUCAAUGUGUUGGGGAAAUUUUUUUUAAAGCACUUUUAGCUAGUUUUAUAUCAACUGUAUGUCAAGUUAAGUCAUCUGAGAGGAAGAGAGCCUCAACUGAAAAAAUCCCCCAACUAGAUUGGUUUCUAGGCCUGUCUGUGGGGCAUUUUCCUGAGUGGUGACUGAUGAGGGAGGGCCCAGUCUACUGUGGGUGGUGCCAUCCCUGGGCAGGUGGGCCUGGGUGCUGUAAGAAAGAAGGCUGAGUAAGCCAUGGGAAGCAAGCCAGUAAGCAGCCUUCCUCCAUGGCCUCUGCAUCAACUCCUGUUCCCAGGUUCCUGCCCUGACUUCUUUCAAUGAAGGAUUGUGAUGUAAAAGUGUAAGAUGAAAUAAACCCUUUUCCUGACCAAGUUGCUUUUGGUCAUAGUGUUUUAUCACAGCAAUAAAAUCUCUAACUAAAACAAACACAUUUCAAAAGACAAACAAACAACUAUGGAAUGACAUCGAUUCUGAUCACCUAUCUCACUGCCCCAUCUGUAGCUUAUGUAGUAAAGAACUGGCAAACACAGACAACCAAUGACUGCAGUGCAGGAAGAGAACACUAACUUCAUCUCUGGUUUCCUUCUCUAGUGGUUUGAGUGGGAAUAGCCCCUGUUGUGGAAUACUAUUUUAAGAUGUGUUCGUUUAUGCUGUGGAACAUUUGUUUAAUGAUGUAAAGCUGUGCUGCAUUCUUUUAUGAUGCAUUUGUUUAAUUCUGUGAAGCUGUGUUACUGUGCCUGUCUAAAACACCUGAUUGGUCUAAUAAAGAUCUGAAUGGCCAAUAGCCAGUGGGGAGAAAAGAUAAGCGGGGCUGGCGGGCAGAGAACAAAUAGGAGAAAUCUGGGAGGAAUAAAGAAGAAACAGCAAGAAAGAAGCAGCGAGAAAAGGAGCCAGCCACAGAGUAAGAGUGAAAGUAAGAUUUACAGAAGUAAGAAAAGGAAAAAGCCCAGAGGCAAAAGGUAGAUGGGAUAAUUAAAGUUGAGGAAAGCUGGCAAGCAAAUAAGCUAAGCUAAGCCUGGGCAUUCAAAGAAAUACUAAGUCUCCCUGUGUAUUUAUUUGGGAGCUGGGUGGCGAGCCCUGCAAAAGAGCAAAAACAACCAACAACAGCCCCUCUAGGCUCAUAUACUUGGAUGCUUGGUCACCAGGGAGUGGCAUUAUCUAAAAGGAUUAGGAUUAGGAAGUGUGACCUUGUUGAAAAAAAUUUGUCACUGGGGGUGGGCUUUGAGGUUUCAAAAGCCCAACCCAGGCCCAGUGUAUCUCUCUCUCUCUCCCUCUCUGACUGUGGACCAGGAUGUAGCUCUCAGCUCCUGUUCCAGUAUCAUGCAUACCUCAAUUCUCCCUGCAAUGAUGAUAAUGAACUAAAUCUCUGAAACUGUAAGCCAGCCUUGAUAAAGUCUUUUGUAAGAGUUGCCAUGGUCAUGGUGUCUCUUUACAGCAAUAGAACACCUUCCAAAAUUAAAAAAAAACACACUAACUUUGUAUACAUAACCUUCUGAAAAGCAUUUUAUAAGAUAAAUCGUUUAUGGAGUAAUCAUAAAAUAAUACAGUAAUAAACUAAGGCAGUAAAAAGUAACCUUAACUCUAAAUUUUGAAUUUUUUAAAAGAAGCCAAGUUAUACUACUAAAUGGGAAAAACUAUUAUUCUCAUUUUCAUUACAAAGAACAAAAAAAUAUUUAUCUCUGUUUUAAAAUUGCUAAAACAAACAGAAAUGAACUAAUAUUCUCUUAUGCAAGAAAUAUAAACCACUCCUAACAAAUGAAAGUUGUCUAUUCAUCAUAGGUGACUUUGACUUUAGAUUAUUCUGUUAAUCAAGGAUGGGUAUCAAAAGUAACAACAACAAAUAUUCAAAAUCAGGUAGACACCUAGCAUAAAGAUAGUUAUAAGACGGGCACUGUGACACUUCUUGUAGUAAAGACAACAGACAUAAAAGCCAUGUCUAAGUCCACAAAAUGGUUCUUGGAGCUCAGAGAAAAAGUUAAUCUAUUUCUUUGAAUCAUAAAGUAAAGCAAAUGUUUAUUUCACUUCUCUACAAUUUUUUUCUUUAAAAACAAUUUAUUAAUGUAUUUUGUUUGUGUGUGCCUGAGUGUGUGUGUAUGUAUGUAUACAUACAUAUAUACAUAUUACAUGUAUGAAGUCACCUGCAUGAGAAGAGGAUGUUGGUUCCCCUGGAAUUAAGAGUUACAGGCAGCUAUAAAGUGUUACAUGGAUGCAGAAAACUGAACGUGGGUCUUCUGCAAGGAUAAUAAGUACUCUUAACCACUGAACCAACUCUCCUAUCCCUCCCUAUGCUAUUUUAAAACAAGGACUUCAAAAAACUUAUUAUUAUUAUUAUUAUUAUUAUUAUUAUUAUUAUUAUUAUUUUAAAUAAUGAUGAGAUCCUACUAUCCAUUAAUUAGGUGCCAAUUCAUUGUAUUUAUCUGCUUAUUGAUGCUUGACUGAACGGUGAUGUCCGAA